AUUGAAACCCUGGUUCUCAUGCAAUCACCAAAGUUAAGCAAUGUUGAGGUUGGUCAGUACCUAGAUGGGUGACCACUCAGGAAUACCAGGUGCUGUAAG